AUUGAACGCUGGCGGAAUGCUUUACACAUGCAAGUCGAACGGUAGAGGGGGCAACCCCUCGAGAGUGGCGAACGGGUGAGUAAUAUAUCGGAACGUGCCCAGUCGUGGGGGAUAACGUAGCGAAAGUUACGCUAAUACCGCAUACGAUCUACGGAUGAAAGCGGGGGAUCGCAAGACCUCGCGCGAUUGGAGCGGCCGAUAUCAGAUUAGGUAGUUGGUGGGGUAAAGGCUCACCAAGCCAACGAUCUGUAGCUGGUCUGAGAGGACGACCAGCCACACUGGAACUGAGACACGGUCCAGACUCCUACGGGAGGCAGCAGUGGGGAAUAUUGGGCAAUGGAGGAAACUCUGACCCAGCGACGCCGCGUGAGGGAUGAAGGCCUUCGGGUUGUAAACUGCUUUUGUACGGAACGAAAAGGUUUCUAUUAAUACUAGGAGCUCAUGACGGUACCGUAAGAAUAAGCACCGGCUAACUACGUG
rnacentral:rRNA from 1 species